UACGUAGGUGGCAAGCGUUGUCCGGAAUUAUUGGGCGUAAAAGCGCGCGCAGGCGGCUUCUUAAGUCUGAUGUGAAAUCUCGGGGCUCAACCCCGAGCGGCCAUUGAAAACUGGGAAGCUUGAGUACAGAAGAGGAGAGUGGAAUUCCACGUGUAGCGGUGAAAUGCGUAGAUAUGUGGAGGAACACCAGUGGCGAAGGCGACUCUCUGGUCUGUAACUGACGCUGAGGCGCGAAAGCGUGGGGGAGCAAACAGG
rnacentral:rRNA from 1 species